GGGAAACGAAAGCUGAAGGCCAUGGUAGCACAGGCUGCAAUCUCAGCAGCUGGGGAGAAGGCAGAGAGCUCAAGAGUUCAAGGUCACCCUCUGCUACAUGGUGAGCUCAGUUUGAGCAAGCUUGAUUAGGAGGAUCAUCAGACUACACACACACACACACACACAGGGGGAUCAUCACACCACACACACACAGGAGGAUCAUCACACUACACACACACACUCACACACAGAGGGAUCAUCACACUACACAUACACACACAUACACACACAUACACACACAGGGGGAUCAUCAUACUACACACACACACAGAGGGAUCAUCACACUACACAUACACACACAUACACACACAGGGGGAUCAUCACACUACACAUACACACAGGGAUCAUCACACUACACAUACACACACAUACACACACAGGGGGAUCAUCAUACUACACAUACACACACAUACACACACAGGGGGAUCAUCACACUACACACACAUAGGGGGAUCAUCAUACUACACACACAUACACACACACACAGGGGGAUCAUCACACUACACACACACUCACACACUACCUCUAUCUUACCC
rnacentral:lncRNA from 1 species